UGGGGAAUAUUGCACAAUGGAGGGAACUCUGAUGCAGCGACGCCGCGUGAACGAAGAAGGCUUUCGAGUCGUAAAGUUCUUUUAUAUGGGAAGAUAAUGACGGUACCAUAAGAAAAAGCCCCGGCUAACUACGUGCCAGCAGCCGCGGUAAUACGUAGGGGGCUAGCGUUUUCCGGAAUCACUGGGCGUAAAGGGUUCGCAGGCGGAAAUGCAAGUAAGGUGUAAAAGGCAGUAGCUUAACUACUGUAAGCAUUUGAAACUGCAUAUCUUGAGAAGAGUAGAGGUAAGUGGAAUUUUUAGUGUAGCGGUGAAAUGCGUAGAUAUUAAAAAGAAUACCGGUGGCGAAGGCGACUUACUGGGCUCAUUCUGACGCUGAGGAACGAAAGCGUGGGUAGCAAACAGG
rnacentral:rRNA from 1 species